CGGGGCGUAGCGCAGUCUGGUAGCGCAACUGCUUUGGGAGCAGUGGGUCGAGGGUUCAAAUCCUUUCGCCCCGA
rnacentral:tRNA from 1 species